UACGUAGGGUGCGAGCGUUGCCCGGAAUUACUGGGCGUAAAGAGCUCGUAGGUGGUUUGUCGCGUUGUUCGUGAAAACCGGGGGCUUAACCCUCGGCGUGCGGGCGAUACGGGCAGACUUGAGUACUGCAGGGGAGACUGGAAUUCCUGGUGUAGCGGUGGAAUGCGCAGAUAUCAGGAGGAACACCGGUGGCGAAGGCGGGUCUCUGGGCCGAUACUGACGCUGAGGAGCGAAAGCGUGGGGAGCGAACAGG
rnacentral:rRNA from 1 species